UUCCCCACAAUUCUCCCCUCACGCUACCUUGAUUCUCUCACUCUCUAAAAACCUCACAAAGCACUCUCUCUCGUCUCGCUCACUUUUUCUGAAAAAAGAAAGCAAACACAAAACCCUCCUUCGCUUCUCCCUCUCACACCGUCAUCCACACCUCCAUCCACCCUCACAUCCACGCCGACCACCACCACAAACCAUUCCGCCGGAAACAAUCAAAACCAAAACCCCAAAA
rnacentral:lncRNA from 1 species